rnacentral:lncRNA from 1 species
CUUUUAACAAAAAGAUGUAUGUUUCCCAUAUGGGAAACCGGAAAUGAAAGGGCAAUGCUUAUGAGUCAACUGUGCCAUGUCUAAACACUUCUUACUAGAAAAAUUAAUCCAGAAUUCUAGCCCUGCAGAGGAGAUCAAAGGAAAAGUUUUAGAAACUCUUUGACAGAUCUUCUGUGACUAAAAUAUAAAAUAACUUCUAUUGAGCAAUCAGAUGUGUGAACAUUGAGGCUUACUAAAAGGUCACUCUAUGGUCUUUCUUUUAAUAUCAUUUUAAUGAUCUCAUAAUAUGCAUACUUUUCACAGAGUUUUGGGAUCUGAUUAACGGAGUCUAUUUUCUGACCACCCUGCAUUCUCUGGCUAGCAUUAAAGGUACAAAAAAUUAGAAAUAAGUGUUAAAAGAUGUAAAAUAGAUGACUGAAAAAUAAUUGGACCAGCAUAUGGAUCUAGCUUGUUACUAGAUUCCAUGCCAUCUCUCCAUAAUUACUUAGAGUUCUUCCUGAUUGACCUUAGCUUCUUUCCCAUUGAGGCUAUGUGUCAAUUCAAAUCCAGAAACAAGCCAAGAAAUGCAAUUUUUCCCAAGCUGAAUACCUACUUCUUACAAAGCAAUUUUUUAGGAGUUACAUCAGCAUUAAAUAUAAUUAUUAACUUACUGAGAUAAUAUGAAAGAAAACAGGAAGAGUUACACACAUCAGAGCAUUUCAUGUUCUCGAAGUAAAAGAAUGUCAUGUGGGGCCUCUACUGGUUUUUUGCCUCCCACUCUAUACUAGGAGGAGUGGUUUUGAGACAAAGUGCUCUUAAGUCACUCUUGUUUUUUAGAAAUCUGUAAUGACUCCUUAGACACAAAACCUAUACAUCUCCUCUUCUUCUUCUCUAAAGCAUUUAUCUGUUUUUUCACCCCAUUAUUACUGAAUCCAAGAUCACCUAAUUGCCCUUAUGUCUAUUAUUACUCUACCUUAAAAUCCUCUCCCUUACAUUUGGUUUAAAUUUACUGCAAGAUUCUGCCUUCAGCAUUCUUUUCCUCAACCUUCUACAGCUGAUUCCCAGCUCAUUCCUCUGUUAAAGAAUCGUAAAUCAAUA